rnacentral:rRNA from 1 species
GCCGUGGCGGCGUGCCUACACUUGGCAGUUCGAACGGGGAAAAUCUGGGAAUGGAGGAUUCGUUCUGAAAGGAAAAUGUAUCUUAAGUGGGCGGAACGGGUGAGUAACGCGUGGGCAACCUACCGUAUACAGGGGGAUAACACUUAGAAAUAGGUCGCUAAUACCGCAUAAGCGCACAGCAGUCGCAUACUGGAGUCGUGAAAAGCCGAGACGGUAUACGAUGGGCCCGCGUCUGAUUAGCCAGUUGGCAGGGUAACGGCCUACCAAAGCGACGAUCAGUAGCCGGCCUGAGAGGGCGGACGGCCACAUUGGGACUGAGACACGGCCCAGACUCCUACGGGAGGCAGCAGUGGGGGAUAUUGCACAAUGGGGGGAACCCUGAUGCAGCGACGCCGCGUGAGUGAAGAAGUAAUUCGUUAUGUAAAGCUCUAUCAGCAGGGAAGAAUAAAUGACGGUACCUGAGUAAGAAGCCCCGGCUAACUACGUGCCAGCAGCCGCGGUAAUACGUAGGGGGCAAGCGUUAUCCGGAUUUACUGGGUGUAAAGGGAGCGUAGACGGCGAUGCAAGCCAGAUGUGAAAGCCCGCGGCUCAACUGCGGUAGUGCAUUUGGAACUGUAUGGCUGGAGUGCAGGAGAGGCAGGCGGAAUUCC